CCUACGGGAGGCAGCAGUGAGGAAUAUUGGUCAAUGGCCGGAAGGCUGAACCAGCCAAGUCGCGUGAGGGAAUAAGGCCCUAUGGGUCGUAAACCUCUUUUGUCAGGGAGCAAAGGCGUCCACGUGUGGCCGAGUGGAGAGUCCCUGAAGAAAAAGCGUCGGCUAACUCCGUCCCAGCAGCCGCGGUAAUACGGGGGAUGCGAGCGUUAGCUGGAUUUUUUGGGUUAAAAGGGUGCGUAGGCGGAGUGUCAAGUCAGCGGUAAAAUUUCGGGGCUCAACCCCGUCGGGCCGGUGAAACUGACGGCCUUGAGUGAGUGAGAAGUAAGCGGAAUGCGUGGUGUAGCGGUGAAAUGCAUAGAUAUCACGCAGAACGCCGAUUGCGAAGGCAGCUUACCGGCGCUCAACUGACGCUGAGGCACGAAAGUGCGGGUAUCGAACAGGAUUAGAUACCCGGGUAGUC
rnacentral:rRNA from 1 species